UGCGUCUCAAGAGGCUGUGCAUGACCAUCUCUGGGUGUGCUGGAGUUCUUGUACCCCUUGGUCUGAGACCUUCACUGGCCUCAGUGGCAGGUGGGUUCUGAUGACCUCACACUCUCAGGAGCUCUGCCAGGGUCCAUCUCUCAGAUGUGCCGUGCGGUGAGGAAAAAGAGCGGCCUGUCUUCCUUGGCAUUGGCUGUCUGGAACUCAUCCCGCAGCCGGAACUGCCACUCAUCUUCUAGCUCCAGGCGGACCACCGUCUGGCGAAGUGAGUUCCGGUCUUGGCAGAUCACACACAAGGUGGCUCCUUGAGAGGGCAAGGACAGAGGCAAGGAGAGAAAGGGGCUCCUACUCUUGGCUUUGACACCAGGGCAACGUGGGUUUGACCUGAGCAUCUGUCCAUCAGUGCUGCCACACUCACCUUGGAUGUGAUGUGGAAAGACCUGUGCCCACCCACUGCAAUCUGCUUCUUCAUGACACUGAAGCGAUUGAACCGGCAGAGCAGGAGGCCAGCACUGUGCACACGGAGGUUGAAGUCUACAUCGUCACAUGUAAACCUGCUCGGAAACAGAGGAGGAGCAGCCCUGGUUUCCUGUCACGAGAGGCACACUGUGGCCCCCAAGGCUGAGAGAAGGGAAAAGUGUGCCCAGGGCAUCUCACCUGCUCCGUUCUCCGGCACAGUCCACAUCUGCUACAUUCCACAUCACACAGGAGUCAUCAGCAAUGACGAUGAAGGGCCAGACGUCCUGAGGCUUGACCCCCAGCUCCUCCUGCCGGUUCCGCUCCAGCUCCAGCCUAACCUGAUGUCUCAUGACAGAGCAUUAAAGAAGAGAGCGGGGGUGGACAUCUCACCAACAUGUGAUGUGUCCCAGGUCAUCACCUCAAGUUGAUUAUUCUAAGUAACUCUUACAGCAACUGUUACGGCUAUUUUUGACAUGGGAUCUCAUGUAGCCCAGAUUGGACCUGAAUACCUACACAGCCUUGAAAUUCUGAUCUUCCUGCCUUCAGUUCCAUGGUACUAGGACUACAGAAUGAGUCAACACUCAGUUUAUGUGAUGCUAGAGAAUCCUGGGUUUCGUGCAUGUUAGGUAAGGAGUCUAACUAACAGCCAAGCCACCUCUCCAGGCCCAUCAGCAAGCUUUCUCAGAAGAAUUAUUACUGCCCACUUUUACCAGCAAGGAAACUGAGGCUUGGCUAUAUUAAGUGACCACAUAAUUAGCGAGUGUUAUCACAAAGCUCAAGCAUGAGUGAAUUCUAAGACCACACCUACAGCAACAUCCCCCAGGCUCUGUCACCAUACUAUUUCUGAGCCCUGCUCCAAGUACCCUUGACUCUUUCAGGCAGCUAUGUGUCUAUGUCCCCACCUCAGCAAUGGAUCAUCUGACCCCCUGGAACUCCAAGGCAGUACCUUGUCUGUGACGAGGGGCAAGCGCAUGCUCUCCAGCUGGCCUCCGGGUUGGCUGAAAACAAAGUGGUGCUCCUUGGACUUGGGGAUGAUGAAGUGAAGUUGGACCUCCUCUCCUAGCAUGGAGCAAGAGAAGGCAAAGACGUGCAGGGUGGACUCAGAGAGCUGGGGUGCGAGGGGAGAGCACAGAGCUUAGCGUCACAGUCCAACUUGCUUCCCAAAAGAACCCAGGCCCAGCCUGGCCAUGACUACACCCAGGUCAUGCCCACCUCUACCCCCAAGUGCAAGAGCACAGAUGCUCAGAUCUGGCUACUGGGUGAACACACCCAAGAUUACCCAUGUAGGGCUAAAGCCUGGCUCCAUCCUGAGUCCCUGUCACUUGGGUCACCAAGUCUUUCUGCCCUUGAGAUUUGACCUAGAGACCCAGCAAGGGUCAGCAAAUAAAGCAUUCAUGCAGAUCUCAUGGUGUGUAUGGGUGUGUAUGGGUGUGUGUACCUGUGUGUGAUGUGUGUGUGUGUGUGUGUGUGUGUGUGUGUGUACAGAUGUUCCUGUGUAUGUAUAUGUAGAUCAUAGGACCACCUUGGGUAUCUCUCUUCAAGCACUGUCCACCUUACUUUUUUGAGAUGAGCUCUUUCAUUAGCCUAGAACCUGCAAA
rnacentral:lncRNA from 1 species